ensembl:lncRNA
GGGAGAGUGUGUUUGUACAGGGAAAUAAUGUCACCAGAAAAGUGUGAUAGCACUUCAAGGAUCAGCUCUAGGAGGAUACGAACCUCAUAGAGCUUGGCAGAACCCGGGCAGAUAUUUCUGGUGGGAUGCAACAUGAUGGUGACUCUUCUCCUGCCCAGCCCAACUGUGACAGGGAGCAGCUGCAACUAAUAAGUUGGCUUCCUGCUUGUUUGUUGGGCGCGUUGAUGCGGCAGAGACCCGGGAAGUCAGCAGCAGAAGAAAGGCGCUUUGAAGUAAUCCGAAUCUCGAAGUUUAUUAGACAUGAGCAAAGCUGUGAUGCUGGAAAGCAAGAGCUGGAG